AAACAAAAAAUUAGUUAAAUUUGAUCGACAUCGAGUUGAAAUUCAUAAAUAUUCCACUAUAAAUAACAAUCUUAUUACUUAUAGAUAAAGACUAACUUGAUAAAGUAACUAACCAUUUUUUUUCCUCAAAUCUUGAUAAAUUACAAUGGGUUAGAUCGAGAAAGUAUCGCCUCUCUCUAACUUUCCCUUACCUUUCCCCUUUUGGCCUUUUCCUUUUCCCAUCCAUUCCAAUUUCUUUUCCCGUUUCUGUGUUACUUCUUCUCCUAUGGAUUCCCCCAUGCUUCAAGCAUCACAUUCCUAUUGUGAUAUAGUGACUAGUAAAAUCUCUGCCUCAUUAAUUUCUAUGGUUAAUUCCCAUGUGGAUGAAAUUCCUGCUGAUCUCGAUGACUCCAUGGUCAAGCUUUUCGUUGAUGACAUGCACCUCCUUAAUGCUCCAUGGAAAUACUUUGUUAUUGUCAAGACUUUUGGCUCCAAGUUCACCCACCAAUAUCUCAACACGAAAUUGGAUGCGUUAUGGCGACUGGCUGAGCCUCUUUGCUCAAUUGACUUGGGACCUGACUUUUACAUAGUUAAGUUGCAAAAUCCAGAGAGUCAGGUGAAAGUAUGGCAAGGCGGCCCUUGGUUUAUUGCAGGGAGCUUUGUAUCCAUUAGGAAAUGGGAUCCCAACUUCGUUCCUAGUAACUCCAUGAUUGAUUACACUGCUAUUUGGAUCCACCUGCCCCAGCUCCUUUGUCACCAUUGGACAUCAGAAGCAAAACUUAGUCUAUGAAGGAGAGAAAAUACUUUGUAAAUUGUGUGGUCUUCUUGGCCACACGGAACAACACUAUACUCAACGACAAGUAUCCCAGUCAAUUAAUCCGCCUACAAAUAGAUUUACCUCGCUGGAGCAGCAUCCCAGUGAAUGGAAAACAAUUACCUUUGCACGCAUGAAGAAGAAUCCACAACGUCUAGACUCAGGGACACAUCAGCAACGAAAGGAAAAGAGCCAGCAACUCCAGCUUCAAGAGAAACACUUGGAGAGUGAACAGAUGCAACAAUAUCUGAUGAUGAAGAUGAGCUACAGAUGGAUUUCUUAUUAGAACAAUCUGGAGGUGAUGCACAUGACUUGAUGGGUAUGGGAUUUGGUCUUCCUACUGAAUCUGAAAGGUCUCUAAUGGACAGGGUCAUACAGGAACUCAAAAUUAAGCUCAAACAGGGAUUUAGAUCAAGAAUUGAAGAUAUGAGGAAAGAGAUACUGAGAAAGAAAAGGACAGGGAAGAUACCUGGUGACACCACUAUUGUUUUAAAGAAUUGGUCACAGCAACACUCUAAAUGUACUUAUCCUACUGUAAGUCACUCACCUAAUAUAUAGUAAUUAUUUCUUGUGAAACCUCAAAAUUCCUUAGUUCCUGAUUAAGUUAUGCGGACUCUUCACUUUUCAUGUACCCAUUGACAUCUUUGAAUGAAGAGUCCCAGCAACACAGGUUCCUGAAACACUCUCUUGACAUGGAUUAACUAACUCUAGUAAUAUAAUGUCAUACAUAUAUAUUCAAUUCAGUUUCAAACAUAGCAGUAAAAAGCAGAGAAUAAAUAGACAACAUAUCUGGGCACCAGAUAUUGGUGUUGCCAAUGCAGCAGCUACAGUUGAAAGAGAUAUAAGGAAGAGGAAACAGAUAAAGGUUUCAGAUGCAAGGGUUUAUUAUUAAGUUUUCUGCUCUCCUAAAUAUGAUCAUCUAAUUAGGUGGGUCAGAUCAGAUAGUCCAUGCCAAUGUAUUGUAUUCCUGUUUUAAACUCCCUUGGGUCCCCCCAUAGAGGAAGCCAUUUCUACAAUUACCAAAGUAGAUAUUCAUGCGACACGGACAAUGGAUCACUUUUGUUACCCCAUUUCUUCAAGAAAAUGUCUUGACAAAUCCCAGAUUAAACCCUGAUGUUUUCCCAUCUAGUUGCUUUCUAGCUGGCAAAUAUAGAACUCAGAUGAGAUUUUUCUCAUACUUGGUUUCUGAGUCGGACGUUGUAAGAUUCAUGUUGACUUGAUCAACCUGCAAUUGAAUCAUAGAUAGAGGGUCUACAGACUAGGGCUUGCAGAUUAGUUUGCUCUAUUCUUUUAUUGUAACUACGCAAAUAAAUCACAUAGGCGUAAGGUGACUAAAUUAACCUCAUCAGUAAGAAAUUCCAAGGGCAAAAAAAGACAAAUAUCUCAUAAAAGCCACACAUCUAGAAGAACAAAAAGGCAGAAACCUCAGCUUAGCCUAAAGGUAAAAAAGGCAAGCUCUAUAUGCAACAAGGUUUACACAUUGUUGGACAUUGCCAAUUUACUAACAAUCGAAAAAGAAGAUUCACCAAGUAAGUUUAUUUUUUACCUAGUGAAAUUGUCCAUCGCCGUUACCACUUUUUAUGAGAGAUGCAACCUUUACGGCCAACUUUUGAGAGAGAUGCAGAGAGAAGAGAGCCAUGAGAGAGAAGAGAGCCGAGAGAGAGAAGAGAGAAGCGUUCCCUAGAGAGAGAGGAAGCGAGAGAGAGAGAGAGAGAAUUGGGAAAGCUGUGCGUUUAGGGUAUUUUAAAAGUAAAUUUUCGACUACUUCAAUCGAAAAUAAAUUUAAUAUGUUUAAUUA